rnacentral:RNase_P_RNA from 1 species
UGAUUCAAGUUAGGCAAUUGCUACUUCCAAUUGAUUUGCGAGAGUAGAGGAAAGUCCGAACUCCAUAGAACAAGGUGCCGGAUAACGUCCGGGGUUCCAUUUUGGAAUACGGAAAGUGCAACAGAAAGCAAACCACCUCUUUAUGGGGAAAGGGUGAAAAGGCAGGGUAAGAGCCUACCGCUUCAGUAGUAAUAUUGGAGGUCCCGAAAGGGAGUUUCACGUAAGUGAAAUCAGUGCAAACCCCACUUGGAGCAAGGUCGAGCAGAAAGCCUUCGUUGAAAAACGAACAAAGUUGUUCGCUUUGUGUGCUUUCGGGUAGAUCGCUGGAAUUCAAUAGCAAUAUUGAAUCGAGACAAAUAAUUGCCGCCCCGCAAGGGGAACAGAAUUCGGCUUAUUACUUGGAUCGUCUU